rnacentral:tRNA from 1 species
GAGGGUGUAGCUCAGUGGUAGAGUACAUGCCUAGCCUGCACAAGGUCCUGGGUUCAAAAUCCAGCACCUCCA